AACGUAGGAGACAAACGUUAUCCGGAGUUACUGGGCGUAAAGGGCGUGUAGGUGGUUUCGUAAGUCUGGCGUGAAAUUUCUCGGCUUAACCGAGGCAGGUCGUCGGAUACUGCGGAACUUGAGGACGGUAGAGGCGUGUGGAAUUCCGGGUGUAGUGGUGAAAUGCGUAGAGAUCCGGAGGAACACCAGUGGCGAAGGCGGGUCUCUGGACAGUUCCUGACGCUGAGGCACGAAGGUCAGGGGAGCAAACGGG
rnacentral:rRNA from 1 species